rnacentral:tRNA from 1 species
AUUAAUAUAUUAAAUAUUUAUAUGACGGAGAUGCAAUAUAAAACUAUAAAACAGUAUUAUUUAUUAAUUUAUAUUUAAUAUUAAUA